UGAGAGCUCGCGGACCGGCGCCUGAUUUGAGACAUACACGCUGGCUGCCGUCACCGCCGGAGAUCAGACUGAAAAGCAGGGCGGCAGGCAGGAGAAGCGCGCGCUGCGCUCACCACACAGUAACGAUGACGAGAACAGAGAUGGCAUGCUAGAAGGAGGCAUUAAAAACAAGGCAGAAGUGGACCCAAGUGACGUCUGGCUGACAGUUCUUCCAACAGUUUACUUUGAGACACAAGUCACUCGUCAAGGGGGAACGGAAGAGCUACAUCAACACAAGACAGGAUGGUUGUAUUGAAGUCCUACAGCUGAAAAUGGACACAGAGGGGAGAUGUAUUAUGCCUUGGAGAGAGAUAAAAUAAAGAUACUUUGCCUACAGUUAUCCAGUUCUGACUAAUGAGAAAAACAUUUCGCCAAGACUUCUGAUAACCGAUAUGCGUGAUUGUUAGUCACAGUGCACAUUGAUGACCAUUUGGAAGAGCCAGCAUGAACUUUGCUAAUGAGUGCUUUGUUGUACUGUAUAGCGAAGUAUAAAAGACUCACAGAAUGCAUCCAUCUAAACCAAUUAAAUGGGCGCCAUAAAUGGCCUCAUAACUUAGAUAACAAUGACUUGUGGUUUAUGAAACAGGAUCCGUCUAAUGCCAACCUCAUAGCGACUCAUCCUUUACCGAUCAACCAGAAGAGAAGUUUAAUGAAGCAAAUACUGAUGGCUAUCUGGAGGAUUGCAAACAAAUAGGAAAAAAUAAAGAUAUUAUGCACAGAAUUGGCAGAACAAAAGAUAGCGACUAUUAAAGGAAAUGCAUUACGAAUUGCAGCUCGGAGCUUGCACAGAGCAGCUGGUGAGUGAAAGGCACAAGGCCUAUGCUGGCUGGGUUACUGAUAUGAACACAAGAUGCUAUUUCAUUUUUAAUAUAAAAGUGUGUCCACUGAGUCUAUGUACAUCUGGUAUUUUUGUAGUAAAAGUCUAUUUUUUAAAUUUACUGUAUAAAAUGUGUAGCUCAGCGUGAAGUCCAAGAGAGUAUAGAGAAACAUAUGAGAGGUGUUUUCUGCUGAUGACAUGUAAAGACCUUGAACAUAGAUUUCCAUGUAGCUGAAUAUAUCUCCUUAUCAGUCCUUAUAGAGUUUCUAAAUAUAUAACAGUGUAUAGAGCACGUGUUGAUGUCAACUGAGCAGGGGUGGGAUUGGCUGCAGAGAUCAUCUGGAGUUUUUAGGUAGCGAGGACAUCACUGUACAACUGUCCAAUUCUGGUGGAACAGUUCUGAUUUUGGAGAACUGUCCCACUCAGUCAGGAUGUUGUCCCAACUUUAGGAACAUUGGAAUGAUUGGUAGCAAGGACGGAACUACCAUUGGUGCCGCAGAUGCAUUGCACUUGGGCCCCUGGGCACUAAGGGGCCCAAUGCUGCCAAGAACAGCAAUGAGUUUCCCUUGUCGGAAGACUGGCCCAGCGUUGGGAGCAGGGUGGGCCCCAUCACCUGAGGGACCUGGCCCUUAUCAU